AGACAACAUCUUGCCCAUGCUUUGCAUCAUUGAAGGCCAUAAUUUUUGGCUGCUCUAUGAGAGUUUCUUCCCUGAUCCACGUCAAGGAGUUAUGCUGUGUUGGUAGAGACAGCGUACCUCUGGUAAAAAAAAAAGGGACCCUGCCUGCAGAUGCCCAAAGGCCUCAGGACCUCACACCCAUUUCUGAAUGGCUGGUUGAUACACCUUCCCAUGGAAUAUGAAAUUAGAUGAAACAAAUGGGGGAGAAAAGUGUAAUUCUGUACCUGGAAAAGUACCCGGAAUGUACUGAGAGAAGUUAUUUAGUUUUUGAAGUAACGCUCCCAAUGCAAAACAAACAAUUCAAGUAGCAAAUGGAAAAGUUUAUGUAACUGCCCCUAAGUUAUAA